ensembl:lncRNA
GGCAGCAUGGAAAGAAGACAGUGAAUUAGCAGAUGCCUGUGUCACCAAAGGGUAGGCAUUUUCAAAUGUAUAUAUGAAACCCGAGCCGGGAGAGGAAAGGGAAUCGGAGCACAAAAAGAUCAAAAAGGAUGCUGUGAAGGAUGAGUCGAAAGUAACUGCAGCAGAACUGAACAGCCAUCGUCUGUUUGGUGAUGAGAGAGAAAGGGGAAAAGUGAGGGAACAUUUCAGUGGAGUGGCUGAGCUCUGACUUUAUCUGUUUGUAAGCCCAGGGAGAGAAGGCAGCCCCAGUGCUUAGUGCUGGGAUGUGAUGUACGGCGUGCUGUGCUAAGACGCUGCGGAGGUUUCUUUACACUGAACAGUAAGGGGGUGGCUUUGAGCUCUGCUUCUUGUCAGCUGUGAACACUGUGAACGAUCCUGGUUUAACUCCGCUUUCCUCCUCGCCGUGCUGUCCUUACCAGACUGUCAUCCUUAAAAAGAAAAAAAAAAACUCAAAAGGGAGUCAAAUCAUUGUGGUGACUCCAUGGGAAGUGCCUGCCCCUUCACCUGAUGGACUGGCGGUGGCACUGGUGUGAGAGAAGGCAAGGUUGUGUCUUCUCAUGGAAUCCCAAAGUCAGAUCGGGUUUGAGUAAAGAGGAACUGGACCCCCGAGGGACAUGCUCAAGCGUGACAACGUGUCAGUGCUGUACGAAUGCAAGGAAACGAACACGGGAUGAAGGAAGAGCAGAAUGGAUGCAUCACAGGCAUGCUGCAGCCACCCAUCGCCCAGCAAAACUGGUUUUGUCUGACAAAAAACCAGAACCACUGCCAGGACAUUUCGCUUCGGUUUAGGUUUAUUUGCUAGAAUUGUUUGUGGUUAGGAACGAGAGCAAGGUUCACUUGUAAUAAUAACGUAACCAUGGCAAUAUGUAACACAAGCUGAUGUCAGUCUGAUUCGCUGAUAAGAUUUAUGUCCUAAUAUAUUAUCCAAU